UACGAAGGGUGCAAGCGUUAUUCGGAAUCAUUGGGCGUAAAGCGCGCGCGGGCGGAUUUGUAAGUCAGGUGUGAAAUCUCGGAGCUCAACUCCGAAACUGCGCCUGAAACUACAAGUCUAGAAUGUCGGAGGGGGCAGGGGAAUUUCACGUGUAGGGGUAAAAUCCGUAGAGAUGUGAAGGAACACCGGAGGCGAAGGCGCCUGCCUGGACGACUAUUGACGCUGAGGCGCGAAAGCGUGGGGAGCAAACAGG
rnacentral:rRNA from 1 species